CAUGAAUAAAAGUCAAGCCCUUUCUUUGCUCAUUGCUCAGCCUCUGGGUAUUAAUCUGCUGAGCUGGUGGCCACCUAAAUACAAUCGUCCUGUUCCCCUCAUUGGUCUCUCCGGUCUCCUGAUUCCAGCCACAUUUUGGUGAGCCAGCCAGGAGUGAAGACGACAGGUUUGCUGUCUCCUUUGCCUGUGGGUCUGGGGCCCCAGCCUGGGGGAGACCCGUGACUCCAGGCAUGCUAUCAGGACAACUUCAACCCGAGGGGAGAUCAGCUCUCCCGCAACCUGGUGCCGCUCUCUGACAGCACAACAGAACCUAAGGGGCUACAGGAUGAUUCAAGGAACAGUGUGCUACAGGACCUCGCAAGAAGACCCUCACCAGAUGCAGCCCCUCUAUGUUGGACUUCCCAGCCUCCGGAAGUUAGAAAUGUGCUACAACCACUCAAGGUCUGCAAACAGAUUCCUAUUUAGAUGUUGUUGAGAGCUGAAUUUCUGGAACAAGAGAUAUAGAUUAAGACUGUUGUUACAUGUUGCCUACAUGACUUUCAAAAGCUUGAUUCCCAGUGGCGCUCUCAACAGCAGUCAUAAACAAUGAUGGGGUCUCGCUCUGUCCUGGAGUGCAAUGGCACGAUCUUGGCUCACUGCAACCUCCGCCUCCCAGGUUCAAGCAAUUCUCCUGCCUCAGCCUCCCGAGUAGCUGGGACUACAGGCACACGCCAACACGCCAGGCUAAUUUUUUGUAUUUUUAAUAGAGAUGGAGUUUCACCAUGUUCCCCAGGCUGGUCUUGAACUCCUGAGCUCAGGCAAUCCACCUUCCUCUGCCUCCCAAAGUGCUAGGAUUACAGGCGUGAGCCACCGCGCCCGGUCUAUUUAUUUUCUUAACAGGGUAUUUUGCUAAGAAGUUUUACAUUUUGGUGAAGUCUAGUUUUUCCAUUUUUUUAUUAUGCUUAUUAUUUCUUAUGACUUCAGAUUUCCUUCCCUUCACUUAAUUAAUGGAGGUAUUGUAGUAUGAUUUCUUUUACCUUGUAUUUUGAAAUUUUACCUUUUACUCUGUGGUCCAUCUUGAAUUAUCUUUUAUGUAUGAUGUGAGGAUGUGAGAUUACUUUUCUUCAUAUGAAAAUGCAAUUUUUCCACCUUCCAUUCUUGAAGAAAUUAACUUUCCCCAUUUGACUGUUUUGGUGUAUUGGACAGUAAGUUUAAAAAUAUGUUUUAAAAAGUAUUUGCCAUGUUUAAAAAAUGUUUAGAAAGAAAGGCCACAUUCUUGUCUUUUUCCUUAUCUUAGAGGAAAAGGCUUCAACUUUUCACAUUGAGUAUGAUGUUAGCUGUUGGAUUGUCAUACAUGGAUUUUCUUGUUGGUGAACUUUUCUUCUAUACCUAAUUUGUAAUUGAUAAUAAUAAUAUAUUGUUUAUAUCAAAACAGCUAAAAAAGGGAUUUUAAAUGCUCUCACCACAAAGAAAUGAUAGUAUUUGGGUGGGAUAAAUAUGUUAAUUGACCAUAUUUGAUUAUUCCACAAUGUACAUGUAACAAAACACCACAUUGUACCCCAUAAAUAUAUAAAAUUAUUAUUUGCAAUUAGAAAUAAAAUAUAACUUAAAAAAGAAAAUCCAUAACUCCUUUCUAUAAUUUAUGAAUGUAUGUCAAAAGUCUUAAAUUUGGUUUUAAAUAUCUUGCUGUAACUGAUCUUUACUGUCUAUUUACAGGUCACUAGACAUCCUGCUCCAGGUGUAAUUAUGCUAUUAACACAAACAACAGCUGGCUCACAUGUACUAAGCUCACAUGUACUAAGCUCACUUGUACUAGCAGCUCAUUGAGCCCACAUGUACUAAGCAGCGUGAUAAGUACUUGUAUAUGCAGUAUGUCAUAUACAGGCAAUAAUUUUA
rnacentral:lncRNA from 1 species